UGGGGGAUAUUGCACAAUGGGCGAAAGCCUGAUGCAGCGACGCCGCGUGAGGGAAGACGGUUUUCGGAUUGUAAACCUCUGUCGAGGGGGACGAAGGAAGUGACGGUACCCCUUGAGGAAGCCACGGCUAACUACGUGCCAGCAGCCGCGGUAAUACGUAGGUGGCAAGCGUUGUCCGGAAUUACUGGGUGUAAAGGGAGCGUAGGCGGGGAUGCAAGUUGAAUGUAUAAACGGCCGGCUCAACCGGCCGAAGCGUUCAAAACUGCAUUUCUUGAGUGGAGUAGAGGCAGGCGGAAUUCCUAGUGUAGCGGUGAAAUGCGUAGAUAUUAGGAGGAACACCAGUGGCGAAGGCGGCCUGCUGGGCUCUAACUGACGCUGAGGCUCGAAAGCGUGGGUAGCAAACAGGAUUAGAUACCC
rnacentral:rRNA from 1 species